GAUGAGCGCUGGCGGCGUGCUUAACACAUGCAAGUCGAACGGUGAAAGAGAGCUUGCUCUCUGGAUCAGUGGCGAACGGGUGAGUAACACGUGGGUGAUCUGCCCUGCACUUCGGGAUAAGCCUGGGAAACUGGGUCUAAUACCGGAUAGGACCACUGCCUGCAUGGGUGGUGGUGGAAAGCUUUUGCGGUGUGGGAUGGGCCCGCGGCCUAUCAGCUUGUUGGUGGGGUGAUGGCCUACCAAGGCGACGACGGGUAGCCGGCCUGAGAGGGUGACCGGCCACACUGGGACUGAGAUACGGCCCAGACUCCUACGGGAGGCAGCAGUGGGGAAUAUUGCACAAUGGGCGCAAGCCUGAUGCAGCGACGCCGCGUGAGGGAUGACGGCCUUCGGGUUGUAAACCUCUUUCAGCACCGACGAAGCGCAAGUGACGGUAGGUGCAGGAGAAGGACCGGCCAACUACGUGCCAGCCGCCGCCGUAACAC
rnacentral:rRNA from 1 species